GGCGAUGCAUCGUAGAUUCGGGGUCUAUGAGCUUGUUGGGGGGURAUGGCCGACCGAGGCUUCGACGGGUAGGCGGCCUGAGAGGGGGAGCGGGCACACUGGGACUGAGACACGGCGCAGACUCCUACGGGAGGGAGGAGUGGGGAAUAUUGGACAAGGGGCGGAAGCCUGAUCCAGCAACGCCGCGUGAGGGAUGACGGGCUUCGGGUUGUAAGCCUCUUUCACCUCCGACGAAGCGAAAGUGAGGGUAGGGGGAGAAGAAGCACCGGCCAACUACGUGCCAGCAGCCGCGGUAAUACGUAGGGUGCGAGCGUUGUCCGGAAUUAUUGGGCGUAAAGGGCUCGUAGGCGGUUUGUCGCGUCGGGAGUGAAAACACCGGGCUUAACUCGGUGCUGGCUUCCGAUACGGGCAGACUAGAGGUAUUCAGGGGAGAACGGAAUUCCUGGUGUAGCGGUGAAAUGCGCAGAUAUCAGGAGGAACACCGGUGGCGAAGGCGGUUCUCUGGGAAUUACCUGACGCUGAGGAGCGAAAGUGUGGGGAGCGAACAGGAUUAGAUACCCUGGUAGUCCACACCGUAAACGUUGGGCGCUAGGUGUGGGACCCGUCCACGGGUUCCGUGCCGCAGCUAACGCAUUAAGCGCCCCGCCUGGGGAGUACGGA
rnacentral:rRNA from 1 species